UUAAGUUAGAAAGGGCGCACGGUGAAUGCCUUGGCACUAGGAGCCGAUGAAGGACGGGACUAACACCGAUAUGCUUCGGGGAGCUGUAAGUGAGCUUUGAUCCGGAGAUUUCCGAAUGGGGAAACCCACUGUUCGUAAUGGAACAGUAUCUUUAUCUGAAUACAUAGGAUAUUGAAGGCAGACCCGGGGAACUGAAACAUCUAAGUACCCGGAGGAAGAGAAAGCAAAUGCGAUUUCCUGAGUAGCGGCGAGCGAAACGGAAUUAGCCCAAACCAAGAGGCUUGCCUCUUGGGGUUGUAGGACACUCUAUACGGAGUUACAAAGGAACGAAGUAAAUGAAGCGACCUGGAAAGGUCCGUCGAAGAAGGUAACAACCCUGUAGUUGAAACUUCGUUCCCUCUUGAGUGGAUCCUGAGUACGGCGGAACACGUGAAAUUCCGUCGGAAGCUGGGAGGACCAUCUCCCAAGGCUAAAUACUACCUAGUGACCGAUAGUGAACCAGUACCGUGAGGGAAAGGUGAAAAGCACCCCGGAAGGGGAGUGAAAGAGAUCCUGAAACCGUGUGCCUACAAGUAGUCAGAGCCCGUUAACGGGUGAUGGCGUGCCUUUUGUAGAAUGAACCGGCGAGUUACGAUCCCAUGCAAGGUUAAGCUGAUAAGGCGGAGCCGUAGCGAAAGCGAGUCUGAAUAGGGCGUUUAGUAUGUGGUUGUAGACCCGAAACCAGGUGAUCUACCCAUGUCCAGGGUGAAGUUCAGGUAACACUGAAUGGAGGCCCGAACCCACGCACGUUGAAAAGUGCGGGGAUGAGGUGUGGGUAGCGGAGAAAUUCCAAUCGAACCUGGAGAUAGCUGGUUCUCUCCGAAAUAGCUUUAGGGCUAGCCUCAUGUUGUGAGAGUCUUGGAGGUAGAGCACUGAUUGGACUAGGGGCCCCCAACGGGUUACCGAAUUCAGUCAAACUCCGAAUGCCAAAGACUUAUCCAUGGGAGUCAGACUGCGAGUGAUAAGAUCCGUAGUCAAAAGGGAAACAGCCCAGACCACCAGCUAAGGUCCCCAAGUAUACGUUAAGUGGAAAAGGAUGUGGAGUUGCUUAGACAACCAGGAUGUUGGCUUAGAAGCAGCCACCAUUUAAAGAGUGCGUAAUAGCUCACUGGUCGAGUGACUCUGCGCCGAAAAUGUACCGGGGCUAAACGUAUCACCGAAGCUGUGGAUUGACAUCUUUGAUGUCAGUGGUAGGAGAGCGUUCUAAGUGCUGUGAAGUCAGACCGUAAGGACUGGUGGAGCGCUUAGAAGUGAGAAUGCCGGUAUGAGUAGCGAAAGACAAGUGAGAAUCUUGUCCACCGAAUGCCUAAGGUUUCCUGAGGAAGGCUCGUCCGCUCAGGGUUAGUCGGGACCUAAGCCGAGGCUGAAAAGCGUAGGCGAUGGCCAACAGGUUGAUAUUCCUGUACCACCUCCCCGCCGUUUGAGUAAUGGGGGGACGCAGUAGGAUAGGGUAAGCGCGCUGCUGGAUAUGCGCGUUCAAGCAGUUAGGCUGAUGAGUAGGCAAAUCCGCUCAUCAUAAAGGCUGAGCUGUGAUGACGAGGGAAUUAUAGUACCGAAGUUCCUGAUUCCACACUGCCAAGAAAAGCCUCUAGCGAGGCGGGAGGUGCCCGUACCGCAAACCGACACAGGUAGGCGAGGAGAGAAUCCUAAGGUGAUCGAGAGAACUCUCGUUAAGGAACUCGGCAAAAUGACCCCGUAACUUCGGGAGAAGGGGUGCUCUGGUAGGGUGUAUAGCCCGAGAGAGCCGCAGUGAAUAGGCCCAGGCGACUGUUUAGCAAAAACACAGGUCUCUGCGAAGCCGCAAGGCGAAGUAUAGGGGCUGACGCCUGCCCGGUGCUGGAAGGUUAAGAGGAGGGGUUAUCCUUUGGGAGAAGCUCUGAAUCGAAGCCCCAGUAAACGGCGGCCGUAACUAUAACGGUCCUAAGGUAGCGAAAUUCCUUGUCGGGUAAGUUCCGACCCGCACGAAAGGCGUAACGAUCUGGGCACUGUCUCAACGAGAGACUCGGUGAAAUUAUAGUACCUGUGAAGAUGCAGGUUACCCGCGACAGGACGGAAAGACCCCGUGGAGCUUUACUGUAGCCUGAUAUUGAAUUUUGGUACAGCUUGUACAGGAUAGGUAGGAGCCUGUGAAGCCGGAGCGCUAGCUUCGGUGGAGGCGUCGGUGGGAUACUACCCUGGCUGUAUUGAAAUUCUAACCCGCGGCCCUGAUCGGGCCGGGAGACAGUGUCAGGUGGGCAGUUUGACUGGGGCGGUCGCCUCCUAAAAUGUAACGGAGGCGCCCAAAGGUUCCCUCAGAAUGGUUGGAAAUCAUUCGUAGAGUGUAAAGGCACAAGGGAGCUUGACUGCGAGACCUACAAGUCGAGCAGGGACGAAAGUCGGGCUUAGUGAUCCGGUGGUUCCGCAUGGAAGGGCCAUCGCUCAACGGAUAAAAGCUACCCCGGGGAUAACAGGCUUAUCUCCCCCAAGAGUCCACAUCGACGGGGAGGUUUGGCACCUCGAUGUCGGCUCAUCGCAUCCUGGGGCUGUAGUCGGUCCCAAGGGUUGGGCUGUUCGCCCAUUAAAGCGGUACGCGAGCUGGGUUCAGAACGUCGUGAGACAGUUCGGUCCCUAUCCGUCGUGGGCGUAGGAAAUUUGAGAGGAGCUGUCCUUAGUACGAGAGGACCGGGAUGGACACACCGCUGGUGUACCAGUUGUCUUGCCAAAGGCAUCGCUGGGUAGCUAUGUGUGGACGGGAUAAGUGCUGAAAGCAUCUAAGCAUGAAGCCCCCCUCAAGAUGAGAUUUCCCAUAGCGCAAGCUAGUAAGAUCCCUGAAAGAUGAUCAGGUUGAUAGGUCAGAGGUGGAAGCGUGGCGACAUGUGUAGCUGACUGAUACUAAUCGAUCGAGGACUUAACCAA
rnacentral:rRNA from 1 species